GAGGAAACCGACCAAUUGAGGGAAGGUCUGAUUGAUCCCUCUUCUUCUAUAGUAGAGAAGCUUUUAUGGACUUACAUGGAUAUCCCCUAUAUUCUAGGCUACUAUGCGGUAGGUUACUCGGUAACAUUUUGUGCGUUGUAUCGAUCGCAAGAUCGCAUAAUCCGCACUGAUCUCUGUGCUGUUGACUUAUCGUCGCCGGUGGAGAGACUAAGAGCCCUGGUGCCAUGUUACAGAAUAGCUGGGUUGUUGCCAUUGCUAGCUGAACGUUGC
rnacentral:misc_RNA from 1 species